ensembl:lncRNA
AUUAUGGGUAAUCCUCAAAGCAAUGGAGGAUUUCCCUUGAGGUAACGUGUCUAUGAAUGUCCGUGGACUAAACAAUGUUAACUCACUUGAAAAGCAUGUAAAAGUUAAGCUAGAUUUCUUUUGGUUGUAUAAGGUGUUGUUGAUUAAUUUCGCCAUGUUUUUAUAAAGUCAACGAUCUGGUUAUGUGUUUUAUAGCCGAUAGAAAGUCUCUCAAGUAUAGCUAGCUAACUUUAAAAUGAUGCCGUCUUUCCAGACAGAGCAUGCGCUGUUUAUCCACAUGAGAUGACUACUCAACACUGUUUUCCUUUGUCAUAAAUGCAGAUGUGGAAUAAACCUGCUGUUACCACAAACCUGACGGUGUCCGAGAGAGUAUAUCAGGCAGAAGACAUUACACAGAGGUUACAUUGGUGCCGUGACUCGUCCAUGACUACGCCGGACCGGGACUGAUGUUUUCUUGCCGCUGCAUCGUUGUGGAACUGCACUUCCUCCAUCAGUGUAUUUGACUGGCAGAGCAUGCGCUGUUUAUCCACAUGAGAUGACUACUCAACACUGUUUUCCUUUGUCAUAAAUGCAGAUGUGGAAUAAACCUGCUGUUACCACAAACCUGACGGUGUCCGAGAGAGUAUAUCAGGCAGAAGACAUUACACAGAGGUUACAUAU